rnacentral:rRNA from 1 species
AGCGAACGCUGGCGGCAGGCCUAACGCAUGCAAGUCGAACGAACCUUUCGGGGUUAGUGGCGGACGGGUGAGUAACACGUGGGAACGUGCCUUUAGGUUCGGAAUAACUCAGGGAAACUUGUGCUAAUACCGAAUGUGCCCUUCGGGGGAAAGAUCUAUCGCCUUUAGAGCGGCCCGCGUCUGAUUAGCUAGUUGGUUGAGGUAAUGGCUCACCAAGGCGACGAUCAGUAGCUGGUCUGAGAGGAUGAUCAGCCACAUUGGGACUGAGACACGGCCCAAACUCCUACGGGAGGCAGCAGUGGGGAAUCUUGCGCAAUGGGCGAAAGCCUGACGCAGCCAUGCCGCGUGAAUGAUGAAGGUCUUAGGAUUGUAAAAUUCUUUCACCGGGGACGAUAAUGACGGUACCCGGAGAAGAAGCCCCGGCUAACUUCGU